GAUGAACGCUAGCGGCAGGCUUAAUACAUGCAAGUCGUGGGGCAGCAUGAGUGUAGCAAUACAUUUGAUGGCGACCGGCAAACGGGUGCGGAACACGUACACAACCUUCCUAUAAGUGGGGAAUAGCCCAGAGAAAUUUGGAUUAAUACCCCGUAACAUAAUGAUGUGGCAUCACAUUAUUAUUAUAGCUUCGGCGCUUAUUGAUGGGUGUGCGGCUGAUUAGAUAGUUGGCGGGGUAACGGCCCACCAAGUCUACGAUCAGUAGCUGAUGUGAGAGCAUGAUCAGCCACACGGGCACUGAGACACGGACCCGACUCCUACGGGAGGCAGCAGUAAGGAAUAUUGGUCAAUGGACGCAAGUCUGAACCAGCCAUGCCGCGUGAAGGAUUAAGGUCCUCUGGAUUGUAAACUUCUUUUAUCUGGGACGAAAAAAGGCGAUUCUUCGUCACUUGACGGUACCAGAUGAAUAAGCACCGGCUAACUCCGUGCCAGCAGCCGCAGUAAGAC
rnacentral:rRNA from 1 species